CGAUUCACUGAGAGACACAGGCGAGUCAGAGUGAUAAACUGGAGAUUGAGGUGUGAAGCUAUGGCUUUCUGAGAAAAGAUCCAUGGCGGAUGUCUGUGAUAUCCAUUAAUGUCCAAACUAAUCAAACUAUAAUUCUCUGUAGGUUCAAAAAUUAUUUACUAAUACAGAAUUGAGCUAAAACAUUAACUGUCUACAAAGUAACCAUGUUUGUCUUUAAAAAAAUGUAAUGCCCUUUUCGGACGCGACUAGUUUUCUAAACUACGUUUGAGUUUCGAUUCUUAACACCUGACGACUGUGAUUUUCAUGUACGAAUUCGAACGGGACUAACAUAUCCGUGUUUAUUACAGAGGUGGGAAGGUCUGAUUUGUGCAUCUGGGCAUCAUUGCAUUGCAUUGCAUAUAGUCAUUCGGAUUGAUUACCAUUAAUAUUAUUACACAAUAAAUACUAAAUACUAAAUGGCUAGUAUAACAAAACCAUGUUAAUGUGUGGUUUCUUUAGUUUAACUUGUUUUCCUUUUUUGUUUGUUUGUUUUUGUUUUUUGUAGUAGGCUAAACCAGUGCGGUAAGAGCAUCUACGGUAAUUAACGUUGGCCAAAACACACGAGGAAACGCGUUGUGAAAAAAAAAAUUACCUCCUGUAAAACUAGUCCUGUCCGAAUAGGGCUUAAGUCUCUUUCUACCUGGAUCACUCAUAAAUUGUUUGUGUGUGAAACCUAAGUGUGUAAACUGACGUGAACAUUUUUCUUAUGAAGUCUAAUAUGUGGUCAUGUGACUGUAAUUUAGAUUUACAGCCUUGAUAAAAAAGGAGCUGUAUCAAAGUACAAGUUACAUCACCACGGUAAUGUAAGGUCUGCUCCUCUGUCUACUCAGGACAAUAUGCGUAUGAGUCAAUAUUUAUAGUCUCAUCAGAUCUGAGGAAAGAAAAAGUUAAUGACUACAUUUGACUUUGAUUGGCCAGUUAUGUAAAGACACCAUGAAACUGUUUGCAGUCACAUGAUUCUUUCCUAUAUAGACAUAUUUCCUGCUAAAACAGUACAUUUGGGUGGGACGAACUGAAGGGCCAUUAGGGUUUAGUCGCACUCAAUCUAGGCAAAUUGAACAAGUUUUGGAAGAAAGAAAGUCUUAAAGGCUGGGAACAGCAUGAGGGUCACUGUAGCCACCAGAUCUAGUCUGUAUCCAGAUCAGAUGGUCACUGUAAUCACCCAGAUCCAGCCCAGAUGGUGGAUGACCUCCACAAUCCUGAAAGACAGUGGAGACCAGGACAACUAGAUGAGCCCCAGAGACAGAUCCACAGUCAAGACCUUGUCUCCUAGACGGCCACCGGGACAAGACCACAGGAAACAGAUGAUUCUUCCACACAAUCUGACUUUGCUGCAGCCUGGAAUUGAACUGCUGGUUUCGUAUGGCCAGAGUAGAACUGACCACUUGACUGAGCCUGGUUUCUCCCAAAGUUUUUUCUCCAUUCUGUCACCGAUGGAGUUUUGGUUCCGUGCCACCAUUGUCUCCGGCUUGCUUAGUUGGGGACACUUCAUUUCCAGCGAAUUCGUUGACUUGAACUGAGCUGGAUGAUGACAUGAUUGUAUUUAAUAUUGAACUGCCUUUUUGCAUUAUACUGACACACUAUUUUACUAUUUAAUGCUGUUCAGUUGCUUUGUUACCAUCUGUAUUGUUAAAAGCACUAUUUAAGUAAAGGUGACUUGACUAGACUUGCAAUUGCAAUCAAACACACAAUGUGUCAUCAUUCUCUGAUAUGCAACACUACAAAAUAUCCUACAAUAAAUGUAUUAAAAAAACAACCCAGCUUCUUUAAUCAUUUCAGAACAAUACACAUUUCAUUGCUGUACAACAUGAGUGCUUUAUGCACUGUGACAAGGUCAGAUUGGUUGGUAUUGUAAAAUGUGCCAAAUUGUUGUUUGUCCACUGCUGAACUAAAAAGUGAGCUAAAUUCUGGGUUUGGAAGAGGAAUAGGGGAGGGGAGGUAAACUUCCUUUUGAGAAAUGGGGACUAUUGGUGGAAUGCAGCAAAAACAUCCUAGGAGCAGGCAGGGAACGGGGUGGAGGACUUGCUUUGUGUCCCGCUGUUACUUCCAUUGUUGACAUUUCCUUACAUUCAAAACGAUAUUGCGUGACCUUAAGACUGAGAUGUUGGAAGACAAGAAGAAUAAGUGACUUGAAUAGUUAAUAAAUAAGCAUGUGAGAAAGGCUUUUGUUAAUAUAUGCAUUCAUAUUUUUCUCUAUUUCUAUUUGCUACAUAACAAAACAAAAUGAACACUGCAAGCAAAGUUUUUUUUCUCUUUAUAGCAUCUGUUUGCUCCUGCUGAACUGCUUCAUCAUGACGCUCUGAAACAUUUGCUUCCAUCCAUUUCAAGUAGAGGAAUAACAGACAGGAAGGAGGAGAGGUAAAGAUGCAUUCCACUCAUCACAUACAGCAGCUGCCAGGAAAAGCUCUCAGUGUGAAAAAUGACAAGUGCAACGUGUGUAAAAGAAUGGGGUGGCCAGGAGAGAGGUGUGGGAAAGAUUUUCUGUCUUUACUGACACUUUUUCCCAUCAUCCCCGUCAGAGUCAAAUCAAAACAUUAUAAAAUUCUACCUGAAAAUUUGAAGAACAACAGAUGAAAAAGGUAAUAAUGCUUCCAGUUAAGACAUAAGAUAUGUCUACAUAUAUUUUUUUUUCUCAUAUGUCAUAACCAUCAAAGCUAUUUCCCAAAUUAAAAGCUGGGAUUCUAGUAAUGAUUUGUGAUUGGUCAUGGCAACAAUCAGUUACAACCAGCAAUCUCUAAAAUAAAAGGUUAUGAUUAUAAAUGAAACGAUUUUUAAAUUGAAGAGAAGGUUCCACAAAGAAUAAAGAACAAAGAUGCUGCAAAGAACAAUAGUAAA